ensembl:snoRNA
AUCCUUUUCCAGAUCGUAAGCAUGAUGAUUGGGUGUUCACUUGUGUAGCAUGUUUAUCCCUUCAAUCUUGUUUCACAUUUGGUACAUUACUCAUAUGACA